GGUAGGAUGGCCGAGUAGGCGGUGGAUUGUAAUCCCACAUACAGAGGUUUAAGCCCUCUUCUUAUCA
rnacentral:tRNA from 1 species